ensembl:lncRNA
AUGUGGGAAGAGGAAGAACGAGCUUUGAGUACAAACCCUGAAAAGAUCUUUGAGUGUAAAACCACAAGUUCAUCAGUGGGAGGCUGUCAGCCACCUACACAACUCAUAGCACAUUCUCUUAAGCAGAGCAUCUCCGUGGCUGCCAAAGGAUCUCCGUAACCUAGUCCAAAAUUUACAACAACCAGAAGAUUUGGUGAAGAAAGAAGCUGCUGCUUUCUGCUAAGAUAGUGCUGCAGUGUUUCAAAUUGCCUGCCUGCCAUCCCCCAUAUCUUAUGUCAGGAGUGGCCAGGAAGAUGACAGCUUGUACUCCUGGUGCAGAUUGCCAGUGCUAGAGGGAGCAAUACAAACCUUAUUCUCAAAGCACUGUGGUUAUGAGUGUUGACCUCUCAAUAGGUCUCAAAGACCUGCACAAACAAUUCCCUUUGUUUCAUCUGACUCACAGUGUUCCCAGGGCUGGAGCAGCUCCCCAGGAGGCUUUUGUUGAAAGCAUUUAAAGACACGUAUGUAUUGGACACAGCAGCCUGGGACAAGAACAGCACUUUGAACAAGAAAUAGAGAAACAUGGAAAUAAAGACAUUGGGAAAGAGAUAUGUGGGAGAAUAGGAAUUUUAAAAUACAGAGAAAUCAGAAGACCAUGACCAUAACCAGGGCAAGAAACAUGCUUUAAGAAGGCCUGGGAAGACCCUAAGCAUUUACAUAUAAUUGAUCUGCAGACUCUGCACAGCAAAAGAUGAAGGCUAAGACAGAGUUGUAAAUGGACUGGCAUGGCAUUAAAGAAGUACCCCAACAAAGAACCAAUCUACAAAGACUGGUAGAGGAUUUUUGCCCUCCUGUUUGACUUUGUUGGCUCCAGGUACGUAGGGCAAUUCUGUCAAAACACCACUAACAGACAGCUAACUGAACACAUACUUUAGAAAACAAAUACACACUGUAGAAAAAUAGUUUAGAAAAGUCAGUAAACAAGCAAACAACAACCUUAUAACAAAACGCAGCAAACCAUGGAGAAGGGGCAGAAUCACAUUUUCAGAGUUGCUACAUUAUAAUAUUUAAAUGUCUAGAUUUCAAAAAAAUAUAUAUGAGAGAUGUAAGAAACAAAUAAGUAUGGCCCAUUGAAGAAAACAAAAUUAACAGAAAAUGUCCAUCAGGAAACCCAGGCACUGGACUUCCUAGACAGACUUUAAAAUAACUUUCAUAACGUGUUCAAACAACUGAAGAAAACCAAAAGAAUAAUUUCUCAACAGAGACUAUUGAGAAAAAAAUAGAACUAUAAAAAGUAAAUAGAAAUAAAUAUUCUAGAGCUGAAAACUAAAAUAACUGAAAUUUUAAAAUUCACUGAAGGGGUCCAAUAGCAUAUUUGAGCUGGCAGAAGAAUUAUUAGUGAAUUUAAAUAUAAAUCUAUUAAAAUUAUCCAUUUUGAGAAGCAGAAAGACAAAAGAAUGAAGAAAAAUGAACAGAGCCUAAGAGACUUCUUGGACAUCAUCAAGCAUACUAACAUACACAUAAUAUAAGUCCCAGAGGGAGAAGAGAAAAGGGGCCAGAAACAAUAUCUGGGAAAAAAAAAAAUAAUGGCUUAAAGCAUCCCAAACUGAUGAAAGAAAUGAAUCUAUACAUCCAAGAAACUGAGUGACUCAAAGAAAGAUAAAGUAAAAGACACCCACAUGAAGACACAUUAUAGUCAAAUUGUCAAAAGCCAAAAACAGAAUCUGAAAACAAAAGCAACUCAUCACAUACAAGAGAUCAAAAAUAAGAUUAUAAUCUGGUAACCAUCCACAAACAAUAGAACCAUAAGUUGGCGGGAUAACAUAUAGAAAGUGCUGAGAAAAAACCUGUCGGAGAAGAUGGCGCUGUAGGAGCAACUCAGGAUUGCAGCUCCCAAUGAAAGGGUGAGUGGAUGCUGCAGAGGGUGAGUGGAUGCCGCAUUUCCAAAUGGAUCUUUAUUGCCCACAGACCAGGAGAUUCCCAGGUGUAGGAGCCCCACGGUCGCCAGCGUAGCUGUUUUGGUCAGCGGGGCUGUUUCGGACAGCGCGGCUGUUUUGGCCGGUGCCGCAGUGCAGCAGCACUCCACACAAAAUACACUGCUCUGGUUGCCCUGUUAAACCUGCAAUUGAAGAUCUGGGAAGGCAGAUUAGCACAUUCAUCUGAUUAAACAGGACUUAAACAUAAAGCCAGGCCAGGAGAUUCCCAGGCAGCGACAUUGUUUCAGCCAGCGCAGUGGGUCGCCACAUGGGACAUCACACAGAUCCCGGCGCCCUUUCAGCAGGUGACUGGAACACCUGGGAGAGAGUCAACUGUUCAACUUAAAAAAAAAGGGCUCUGAGGCAGGGAGCCAGAUGAUCAGGCUUGGUGGGUCCCACCCCCACAAAAACAAACAAACAAACAAACAAAAAACUGCAAUUGGAAAUGCUCGGGGUUGAGAGUUUCAC